GGGGAAUUUUACGCAAUGGGGGAAACCCUGACGUAGCGACACCGCGUGAGCGAAGAAGCCUUUUGGGGUGUAAAGCUCUGUCAGCUGGAACGAACACAAUGACGGUACCAGCAGAGGAAGCAUCGGCUAACUACGUGCCAGCAGCCGCGGUAAGACGUAGGAUGCAAGCGUCGUCCGGAUUCAUUGGGCGUAAAGAGUUCGUAGGUGGUCUGUUAAGUUUGGUGUUAAAGAGCGGGGCCCAACCCCGAUAGUGCACUGAAUACUGGCAGGCUUGAGUGCGGUAGAGGUAAGGGGAAUUCCAAGUGUAGCGGUGAAAUGCAUAGAUAUUUGGAAGACCACCGGUGGCGUAAGCGAGUUAAUGGGCCGUAACUGAAGCUGAGGAGCGAAAGCCGGG
rnacentral:rRNA from 1 species